AUAUCCCUCCCACCUCCCCCUUUUCUCCUCCCCCUCCUCCUUCCUCCUUCUCCUCCUCCUCCUCAUCCUCCUCCUGUCUCAUCCUGGGCCGAAUGGUGCGGCCGCUCGUGCUGGUGCUGCCCUCGCCGCCCGCCGGGAGCCUCCUUAGCUGCCUUCCCCCUGUGCCCGCACUGACACCAUCUGUCAACUUCAUUUAGACAUUGCAGCCCUCACCACACGCCAGGGUGUCACACGCCCAAAGAAACCCCCAGACCUCCGGGCUUGAAUGAACACCAGCCACCCAAUUCCAAAUGUUUAUUUGGAUAGAUUCUUCCGCUCUCCAAACGCCUGUCCCGGGCAGGGCUUUUAAUAGCCACCUUCCUGAGAGAUCCGCGGAAAGCCCCCAUCUCCUGGGCCUGGAGGUAGACCUGAUUUGAUACCUGGCUUGGCCUAGUCUGAGGUGCUUGAGGAGGAAGCAAAAAGGGGUCCAAUCUUCCAGAGCCCCAUAUGGCGACUGCGCCUUUUCCUGUCUCCACACUUCUCAGAUUUCGAGGCCCUAGAGCCCUUCAGUUGGGAGACACUACUUUGGUAUACUUCCAGGAACAGGACCCAUCUGCCCUCAGGCCCUGACCCGGGUGCCAGCGCAUUGGUACCAGGCAGGGCACCUUGAGAGCUCAAGCGGACCAGUGGACCACCCUUAGGCUUCUUCCACCGCCUACUGAGUUUAUGGGUGGGGCUUGAGAAGAAGGUUUCCAUUGUAGGCAUUGCCAUUCCUCCUAAAAGGCAGCUCUGAUGCCUUCAGCAACAAGAGAAAAGGGGCAGUGCUGGGAAAGACACAGUCGGUGCGCCCCUCCGACGGGGCAGGAAUGAGAGGACUCCCAGCAGCGAAGGAAAAUUAGACAAGCCUGUCCCACACAUUCCCAGUGUUGGGAGAAAAAAAGGCAGAAGCAAGUGUGGGUGCUGGUGCCCCUCAGCACGGAAAUUUUGCAUCCACUUGUGCUGCUGUGAGGGAAGUCCCCGUUGAUGAAACAAAACAGUGAAGCCAGGGCCUCUCAGGAUAUUUUGAGCUCGGCAUUACUUCUGCGCCCACCUUGCUGUGCCUCCAGCCUCGGGGCCCGCGCGCCCCCUACUCUGUGGCACCACGCUUUUGAGGCGCCCCUCGCCCACUGCUUCUGCCUGUUUAACCAGGCUCAGGAGGAAGGUGGCUGGGCCCCACGCGCUCAGCGCACAGCCAGCCGGAGGGACAGGACCACCUGGGAGGCGCCCUUGGGUCCGGAGAGGUUAGCCUCAGGCACUGAACGAGGGAGGACGCUCGCGGUGGGUUGCGGAAUUCAUCAGCCAAACGCGUCCGGAGGUUGCGAGGAUUUGUCUCCAACGCCCCCCGACGUAGGAGCUUCGCCGGCCCGCUGUGGGGCGGCAGGUCGGGAGGCGCCCUGGAGGUCCCAACUCAGCCGUGGUCGGUUUUUCUUCACGUGUUUGACUUGUCUCGUCUCCCUUUGCCCUCCCCUCCCCCCAAAUAAAUAAAUAUCUCCAAGGGCAGCGAACUCCGCGGGCGCCGGGCCCUGCGCGCCGCGCCGCGAUGGAUGAACUUCCUGGAGCAUCAAAACUCCCCUCCUGUCCUCCCUGCUGAGCUCAGGAUAUGGGGCGCGCUUGCUUCUCUUCAGAAAAGGAAACGUAGCUCUUCCAAAAAUAUAAAUCAGCGCUGACGUCCAAAUAUUUCUUUUGUCCUCCAGCAUCCUCUGUGGGAAUAAAUAAAACGUGCUCGGCGCCCAGAGCCUGACUCGGGACCUCAGGCGCCCAGACGCCGCCUUGGAGGAGCUGCCUUUCGGGAGCCCUUCUUGUCAUCCAUCCCCCAUUACUCUCCUCCCUGCCCCCAGACCCCGAUCUGGCAGUGGAUCCCUGUUUUGGGUUGCGGCCUGACCCUUGGUCGUGGAAUGAGGACAGCUCGUUGGUGGACCCUGGGGCGCAAAGGACGAAAGGCCCGCCAAGGCCAGCACCGGGGGAAGCCAGCGCUUGCCAGUGCUAGGACGGAAGAAGAGACCGGGAAAACACCGGAGACCGUGGCUCUCUGAGAAAGCUGAGGCCUCCUAUCCUAGACGAAGCCCCAAAGCUGCCUCUCUAAGCUGGCCUUGCUUUUGAGAUUUCCAGUCUUCCCAGGGAGCUAGCAGUCGCCCGUUUCCCUAUCGGCAUUCAGUAGUCCAUGUCUGCGGCCUACACGACCCUGCGUGGGGCAUCUCUGAAGGCUGUUGCCCAUGAGAAGGAAGGGGGCUCUUCAGCGUCAGAGGCCACCUCAUUUCCUUGGCUUGGUUCUAGGUGUUGAUCCCAUGAAAGCCAAGGGAUGGCUUGAGCCAGAUCAUCCUUACUCCCCACCCUAAAUCUCCCUCCUCCAAUUUGAGAGAGAUGGACAGAUUUUGUUUGGGGCUUCGAAAAGAAAUCUAUAGAAAGAGAAGACUCCUAGUGCAUCAAGACGGACUGAUGCUGGCUCUGGAACCUCCACUUCCUGCUCUCUUGACACCCUGGUGUUGAGAGCCCACCAGCCUUUCGGCUGUCACCCCUCCCUACCCCCACUGAGUCACCCUGCGGCAUCCUUGCAGUGAAGCCCAAAAGGGUUCCGUGGCUGAAGGAUCCUGGCAAGGAGUCUCCACCUGCCCGGGGCCCCAUUUGCCCUCUCUCACUCCCUCAUACCCUUCCCCUUGGCCGCAAAUAUUCUUUUCCAGGCCUGGUUCCUCCAGGCCGGGAGGUGGGGGCCGUUUUCCAGCUGCCCCCUCCCCUCUCCAGGGGGGUCUUUAUUGAUGAGCUGCCUGGAAAAACCCCCGCCCAAAACGUCCCAGAAGGGUUUAGACAAUCCAUCACCUACCACUUCAAGAAUGCUUCCUCCCUUUCAAACACAAUCCUCGCACACCAGGCGGGCUGCGGUGGGGAGGGGCGCGCACUUGAAAAGAAAGCAGCUAUAUAAUCAACGUCAAACCAUCCCGCAACCUUUCGGAAACAGGGACUCAGGCCAAAAAUCUCUCCAAAUGAUUUACGCGGCCCUCGUCGCCCUCCCCUCCAUCCUCUGCUUUGACUCUCCCCUGUGCUUGCCGUCGCGCGGCCGGCACGGCAAACGCAUAUCCCUACUCUGCAUUGAACAUCAACACUAAAAGCUUUUCCGUGGCCGUAGUUUGCAUUUUAGGAGAAAGCGUUUUUCGUCUUGGGGAUCAAGGGGACAUACUUUGGGGCCUGGUCAGAGUGCCCUUGCUGGUGGGGAGGAGUGAACUGGGAAGACUGGGCAUGGAUUUUUGGAAUCGUCAAAUGAGUGUCACCUUCCCCCCCCCUCCAAAAAUCCUUGGAUUUUGCGGUGUUGCGGGCUGCGCCUCCCCUUUUCUUGGGUGCAAUUGGAGGAAAAGCAGGAGUUCUUUUCAUUUCCGCUGGGUGGCGCCAGGCUCUCGGAAAUCGUGGUCAGAGAGGCUGCCCUGCGCUCCUCCAAAGGCGCAGCUCCCUCUCCCUCACCUGCCCAAGGUUUCUGACGCAGCCACUGAGGUCCGGGCUCCCCGCAGCCGCGUGUCCCAGACCCUAGGUUCCUUCAAAAAUUAUCGUCUGCCUAGUACUGGGUUGACCAUCUUAGGGUACCUUUCCUACCCCCGCAUGCCGUUAACAUUUAAAGAAGAAAAUAAGUUACGUACUUGGCACUGCUCUGUCGAAGUGCGCUCUCUCCGUGGCAAUCAUGCUUACGCCAUGCUGAAGAAAUUCAGGAUUCAGUGCAGCUGUUUUGGUUUCUUGAAGCAAGGGGCAGAAGGCUGGGUCUUCAUUUGUAAGUUACAUACCCGGAGCUCCUGGCGUUUUCCUGACAUCUAGUAGAAAAGAGACAGACCACCGAACGUUUGGUGAAGCCAGUUCCAGUCCGCUGUUCAGCAAGGUAUCCUGGAGAAGGCACUUUCUUCUGCCUUAGCGUUCUCAUCCGUGAAGAGGUUCCAAGAACUCUUUCUCCUCUUCUGGGUCUACAGUGACAGUAAUACGACUUUUUGCUUUUAUUAUUUCUCAUUCCUUUUGGCUGAAGAAAGCCAGGCAGCUUCCUAAAUUUUUGCUGGUGAAAGUCUACGAGAUAAGGGGAACUUUGGAGGUCCUGUUGGGGAAGGCUGAAUACAAAAGACAGGCGAUCAAUAGGUAAGAGUGAACUGGGAUUCCAGAAAGCCAAGGGAACUAGAUUUCGGACCUGAGCCGAAGAUGUCAACCACUGGUCUUCCUCUGCAACAUGGUAUCAUAAGGAACUAGUUUUUUCUACUGUAACUGACUUUUACUUUCAAAAUUCUAAAAAUGAGAUUUAUAUACAAUAAAGCACACUUAUUUACAUGAAAAAAA